rnacentral:snoRNA from 1 species
AAACCAUGAUGGGGACAUUGGUUUAUGUAGCUCCUAAACCUUUCCCAUGCUUCCCCAAAACUCUCAUUGUUGUGUUAGGUAAAGCUUGAGAAUUGAUACUUCAACUU